rnacentral:lncRNA from 1 species
AGCAAUCUUUUCACUGGGAGGGACAGGCAAUAAUGACUAACAUUUCUGCAGCCAUGCCUGUUCUGCUUCUCUGAGAUUUCCUCCUCUGCAGCAAUGGGGUUACUGAGGUCAAGCGGGGAAAUGUGCAUUCAGAUCCAUUACAGGAGUCAACCAUCACCAUGGACAGAGUCAGCGAAAAAGAGAGCAAUGGAACAGAGAAAAAAAAAAGGAAGAUGUGGCAGACUAUUCAAGUCAAAAGCAGGUAAGACAUAGAGUUAAAACUAUAAAUUGGAUUAGUAGCUAAAGGACUCAUGUGGUUUGAAGAUAUAUUUUUG